UUAAAUUGAAGAGUUUGAUCAUGGCUCAGAUUGAACGCUGGCGGCAGGCCUAACACAUGCAAGUCGAACGGUAACAGGAAGCAGCUUGCUGCUUUGCUGACGAGUGGCGGACGGGUGAGUAAUGUCUGGGAAACUGCCUGAUGGAGGGGGAUAACUACUGGAAACGGUGGCUAAUACCGCAUAACGUCGCAAGACCAAAGAGGGGGACCUUCGGGCCUCUUGCCAUCAGAUGUGCCCAGAUGGGAU
rnacentral:rRNA from 1 species